UUUCUCUUUGGAAAAAUCAGAAAAUGAAGAUGCAUUUUAAAAGAGAAAGUCAGUAUCAGCCAUUAUCCAACCACCAAGAAAUAACCCUUGUUAAAAUGCUGGUGAAUAUUCUCUCUCUUUUUUUAAGGGCUGGGGUCUCACGAUACUUCUAUGGCUGUUCUCCAACUCCUGGGCUCAAGCAAUCUUCCUGCCUUGGCUUCCUGAAGUGUGGGAUUACAGGUGUGAGCCACCAUGCCUGGCCAGAUGAGAAAGCUUCUGAGAAGUAAAAUGCUGGGCCACGGAGCUAACAUGUUUAAUAUUUUGAUCAUAAGGGAUGCCAGAAUACAGCCAUGUUACAGCUCUUGAAUUUAUAUCUACCCCAUUGAAGACACUAGUCUAAACUGAACAAGAAUCUCUCAGCCUCAUUUCCACAUUCUCCAAAGAAAGGACCAGACAACUGUGACUUAGGGGUAGGUCGGGUCAUGUUAUAUAAGUAUGGCUUGUGGAGCUGGUAGGCUGAGGAAUUCAGAGGAUCUUGGGGAGCUUUGCAGGCACCAUGAAGGAGUCUACAGUUACUGUCAUCAGUCUGGCCUUGGGGUGCAUGAAACAGGCUGUUUUUAUCAGCUAAUCUCUAUUGUGCUUUUUUCCUUAGAAUAUCCUUUCUGGGCUCAAUUCAUAUUGGUCAAGGAUUUCACAAAAAUACCCAGAAGAG
rnacentral:lncRNA from 13 species